GGCCCCGUGGCGAAACAGGUAGACGCAAGCGACUUAAAAUCGCUCGCUCAAAAGGCGUACCGGUUCGACUCCGGUCGGGGCCACCA
rnacentral:tRNA from 1 species